AUNGAUGUUNNAUGCUUGCAUUUAACUGAUUUAACAUUGAGACGAGUGGCGAACUGGUGAGUAACACGUGGGUAACCUGCCCUUGAAGUAGGGGAUAACACUUGGAAACAGGUGCUAAUACCGUAUAACAACCAAAACCACCUGGUUUUGGUUUAAAAGAUGGCUUCGGCUAUCACUUUAGGAUGGACCCGCGGCGUAUUAGCUUGUUGGUAAGGUAACGGCCUACCAAGGCAAUGAUACGUAGCCGACCUGAGAGGGUAAUCGGCCACAUUGGGACUGAGACACGGCCCAAACUCCUACGGGAGGCAGCAGUAGGGAAUCUUCCACAAUGGACGAAAGUCUGAUGGAGCAACGCCGCGUGAGUGAUGAAGGGUUUCGGCUCGUAAAACUCUGUUGUUGGAGAAGAACAGGUGUGAGAGUAACUGUUCACAUCUUGACGGUAUCCAACCAGAAAGCCACGGCUAACUACGUGCCAGCAGCCCGCGGUAUCAA
rnacentral:rRNA from 2 species